UGCCCCAUAGCUCAGUUGGUAGAGCGCCGAACUGUUAAUUCGGAUGUCCCUGGAUCGAGGCCAGGUGGGGCAGCCA
rnacentral:tRNA from 4 species